GGUGAACGCUGGCGGCGUGCUUAAGACAUGCAAGUCGAACGGCAGUCUUCGGACUGUAGUGGCGCACGGGUGAGUAACGCGUAACUGACCUACCCCAAAGUCGCGGACAACGAUUCGAAAGAAUCGCUAAUACGUGAUGUGCUGUCAGAUUGUGUUCUGCCAGUAAAGAUUGAUUGCUUUGGGAUGGGGUUGCGUUCCAUCAGCUAGUUGGUGGGGUAAAGGCCCACCAAGGCGACGACGGAUAGCCGGCCUGCGAGGGUGGCCGGCCACAGGAGGCGCAGGACACUGGUCCCACUCGUACGGGAGGCAGGAGUUAGGAAUCUUCCACAACGGGCGAAAGCCUGAUGGGGCGAGGCCGCGUGAGGGAUGAAGGUCUUCGGAUCGUCACCCUCUGAAUCAGGGACGAAGGACACUUCGGUGGGAUGACGGUACCUGAGUAAUAGCACCGGCUAACUCCGUGCCAGACGCCGCCGUAACAC
rnacentral:rRNA from 1 species